rnacentral:pre_miRNA from 1 species
UACAUACUUCCUCCGUUCGAAAAUUCUUGUCAUUAAAAUAGAUGUAUCUAGAUAAAUUUUAGUUUUACAUACAUCCAUCUAAUGACAAGUAUUUCGAGACGGAGGGAGUAUAUC